GGGCCUCACGCCCGCGGUGCCGAGGGCGGCCUGAGUCCUCCUUCCCCCGGCGUGGCCUCAGCGGCCGCGGCCAGGCCCGCGUUCCCCCCGCGCUCCUCCGGCCCCGCAGCGCCGCGCCGUGAGGGGCCGCUGACAGCGCCUCGUGCGCCGCCCCCCCCACCUCCCCACGCGGGACCCGAGUUCGAAACCCCAGAGCGAGAAAAGCGCCCCGAGUGGCUCGAGGGAAAGCGGCCAAAGCCUCACCGGGUCCGGCGGUGCUGGCUCCCGGGUACAUGGCUCCGUGUGCGGCGGCGGAGGCGGCGCCUCGCUCCAGGAAAUCCAGCGGCGGUGCCUCGGGAUCAUCUCUGGCCAUCUUUAUUUGAAGUUCAGCGCAGGAGAAUACGAACUAACAAUUGCCGUAACGUAAGAGACAUCGAGUCAUAGAAUUGUUUGAGUUGGAAGAGGCUCUUAAAGGCCAUCCAGUCCAACUCCCCUGUAAUGAACAGGGACGCCUACAGCGCCAUCAGGUGCUCAGAGCCCCAUCCAACCUGACCUUCAAUCAGAUGGAGCAUCCACCGCCUCUCUGGGCAACCUGUGCCAGUGCUUCACCAUCCUUAUCAGAAAGAACUUUGUUCUCGUUUUGACUAUAACUGUUCCCUCUUUUAGGUUGCAACCAUUUCCCUUUGUCCUGUCACAACAGACUCUGCUAAAGGGUCUGUCUCCUUCCUUCUUAUAGCCAUCCUUUACAUUCUGAAAGGCCACCCUCAGGUCUCCCUGGAGCCUUCUCUUCCAAAGAAACGUGGCCAGCAGGGCGAGGGAUAUGAUCCUGCCCCUCUACUCUGCUCUGCUGAGGCCUCACCUGGAGUACUGCGUUCAGAUGUGGAGUCCUCAGUACAGGAGAGACAUGGACCUGUUGGAGUGCAUCCGGAGGAGGGCCACAGAAAUGAUCCCAGGGAUGAAACACCACCCUCUCUGAGGACAGCUGAGAGAGCUGGAGCUGUUCAGCCUGGAGAAGAGAAGGCUGCAGGGAGACCUGGGAGCAGCCUUUCAGUACUAAAGGGGGGCUGUAAGAAGGAAGGGGACAGACUCUUUAGUAGGGACUGUUGUGAUAGGAAAAUAUUAGGCAGUCCUGAAGGCUGACAGUGGGAAAUCAUGCAGCCUGCAUCUGAGUUUUUGAUACUAUAUUUAAAUCAAUCUCUUCAAUCUGAUUAGGAAGAUAACUCCCUCUAACAUCAUCAUACUUCCAUGCCGCUAGACCUUCUGCAUUUAAGUACAAGAGAACACACAAGUACAACAAUAGGUUUCCAGAAAAGGCCAUUGAAAGUGGUGAUUCUGAAGAAGUUAGCAUCCGGCAUCCACCACCACCUGAUGUCACCCAGCCAGGUCUAGAUUUCAUGCCUCACGCUAGCACUGACUACACAGUGUAUGUAUAGCUCUAUGCCGUGUGCCUGUCUUGACACUUACCAUUCUCAGGUUCAAAAAUGUGUGGAAAAAACAAGGGCAAAAAAAAAGUAGUAGGGCUACCAUCACAUGAGCAGUUUGUUUAUUGUUACAGCAAGAGAAACAACAGGGCUUAUGUUUGCUAUACAAGGACUGCAAGAUGAAAAUAAGUCAUCAUCACGAGUAAUUGUGGCAUUUCAAAGUCUGUGACUUUUGAUCCCUGGCACCUGACGUGAUGUGGCAGUUCACAUACAUACCAUCACCAGGAGCAUUGCAAGCAUUUGAUUAUCAGGUCUAUCAGUGCUCGAAACGUUUAUCAAAGCUGAUAUACUUCAAUCAAGCAUUAUAACAUAUAAUUUCACUCCUAAGAUUGCCCUCCAUCAGAGCGCUCACAAGUUUUGAACCUGCAAGGUGAAGAGGAACAGGACAGGAGCAAUGAUUACUGGGUUAUAUUUUUCCACAUGAAAGAAGAGCUCCUGGUGUUGGUAGGUAGAUCUGUGGGAUGAACUCAAUAUGUACUUCCAGGAAGAUACCAGCGCUGUUUUGUAGGCAGACGAGAACCAAACCGACUGUUGGACGCACAAACAUUGAUAAUCCUGUCUCACCUUUCUACAUCAUUCUGCUUGUGAAACACCAGACUGAAAGCAAUGGUCAGCAGAGCUUACAUGCAGGAGGGAUGCACUGGUAUGGAACUUCACCUGAUAGCUCACACUGCCGGAAAAGGGGGAAAAAAAAGAUGAAGAGUUCGUGACAGUGCUCUGCAAUCAGUUUGAAAAUAAGCUAUCGAGCAACAGAACAUGGGUGAAGGGUUUAGAACUUCAAAAGCAAAAGGGCUUAUCGCUGUGUAUACAUGGCUGCAGACUUGCACAAUCGGUUAAAUAGUAAAUCAGUUAAACACUGUUCUCAUGUCCAGAAGUACUGCUGUUCCUCUGUGCUGCUGUAUUCUCCCAGCAACGUUUCUGUGUUCCCUGAGCAGUGCUAGUCUCCCUCUGCUGAAGGGACAGGACACACGUGUUGCUCCAUGUCACCCCAUUACUUCUAAUGCUUUCUGUCACUGACAAUUGCUGUUUUGGAGCACAGUGAAACCUAAUUAUCUGUUCCUGGGCAAUUUCACUCCAAUAAAAAACCACCAACAACAAAAAACCCCUCCCUUUUUUAAAGGGUUUUGGAUCAAAGUGGUUUGGAAGUUCCAUAGCAGCUUUCUUUUCACAGUGCUCUUUAUAUACUCUAUUAACAAAUGCACAGUAGUGUAAGAAGAAUUAUUGAAGCACAAUCAAGUUUCUUUAAAGAGGAAUGUGACUGUUUUGCACCAUAUGCUGUCAUAAUGGCUGGAUUUGAGGCUGAAAUUUCCUAGAGACCUCCCAUAGAAGGAAUUAAAUUAGUUUUGGAGAAGCUGUGCAUUUUCUCAUCGUUUUGGAAGUAAUGAUGGGAUUUAUGAAUGGCUUUUAAAAAUCAUUUAUAUAAACGGAGGUGCUUGGGGGUAAAUAUUUUACAUGCAAUAGGCUGCUGGCAGAAUACCUGGCUUUUCUUCUUAUUAGAGAACAUAUUUUGACUUCACUAAGUAACAACCCUUUUCACUUUAACCCAAAUUACAUUCACAGCCAGUUUAUACACGUCUGUUAGAGAUGGGUGGUAAUGGUACAAUGGAAAAAUUUUACUCAGAGAAGAAAGAUAUACAUUUGAUUCUUGACUCUGAGGAGAUCCAAACUUACUUUUUUUUCAGCCUUCAAUUGGCCCAGCUUUUAAGAUGUUAAUUUGGAGUGCAUGCAUUAGAUUUUUCACAUAUUCUGUGUCAUUUUCAAUAGGCCAAGUGUCGGGUCCUGCAUUUCGGUCAAAACAACCCCAGGCAACCCUACAGGCCUGCAGAGGAGUGGCUGGAAAGCUGCCUGAUGGAAAGGGACCUUGGUGUACCGAUGGACAGUUAGCUGAAUAUAAGCCAGCAGUGUGCCCAGGUGGCCAAGAAGGCCAAUGGCAUCCUGGCUUGGAUCAGGAAUGGUGUGGUGAGCAGGACUAGGGA
rnacentral:lncRNA from 1 species